rnacentral:rRNA from 1 species
CAGUAGCCACGGUAAUACGAACCGUGCGAACGUUAUUCGGAAUUACUGGGCUUAAAGCGCGUGUAGGCGGGCCGCCACGUCGGUUGCUGAAAUCCCCCGGCUCAACCGGGGAAGUGGCAUCGAUACGAGCGGCCUUGAGGGGGGUAGGGGGAUCUGGAACUUCCGGUGGAGCGGUGAAAUGCGUUGAGAUCGGAAGGAACGCCCGUGGCGAAAGCGAGGUCCUGGACCCUUUCUGACGCUGAGACGCGAAAGCCAGGGGAGCGAACGGGAUUAGAUACCCCAGUAGUCCCUGUCUCUUAUA